GGCCAGAGGAGGUAGUAAAGAUAAAUAUCGAUACAGAACUCAAAUGAGGUACUGUAAUCGAAAUGAGUGCAUUAUAAAUCCUACAACGAGGAUCUAUUGGAGGGCAAGUCUGGUGCCAGCAGCCGCGGUAACUCCAGCUCCAAUAGCAUAUAUUAAAAUUGCUGCAGUUAAAAAGCUCGUAGUUGGAUCUGGGUUCUGGUCUGGAACAUCUCGGGUUAGUAUUCAUUUAUUAGUCCUUGGUUUAUCUAGGCCGAAUCUUCCAGCUGUGUCUAUGUGGUACCAAUCGGUACUUUAUAGAUAGUGUAGUUGUCUGUGAAUGCUUCACAGCUUUCCAGCUUCUAUUCUAUGCACUGUUAAUGCUCUUAACCGAGUGUUCAGUGUGGACAGCACGUUUACUUUGAACAAAUUUGAGUGCUCAAAGCAGGCCUAAGUU
rnacentral:rRNA from 1 species